rnacentral:rRNA from 1 species
AUCGAACGCUGGCGGCAGGCCUAACACAUGCAAGUCGAGCGGAUGAGAGAAGCUUGCUUCUCGAUUCAGCGGCGGACGGGUGAGUAAUGCCUAGGAAUCUGCCUGGUAGUGGGGGACAACGUUUCGAAAGGAACGCUAAUACCGCAUACGUCCUACGGGAGAAAGCAGGGGACCUUCGGGCCUUGCGCUAUCAGAUGAGCCUAGGUCGGAUUAGCUAGUUGGUGAGGUAAUGGCUCACCAAGGCGACGAUCCGUAACUGGUCUGAGAGGAUGAUCAGGCACACUGGAACUGAGACACGGUCCAGACUCCUACGGGAGGCAGCAGUGGGGAAUAUUGGACAAUGGGCGAAAGCCUGAUCCAGCCAUGCCGCGUGUGUGAAGAAGGUCUUCGGAUUGUAAAGCACUUUAAGUUGGGAGGAAGGGUUGUAGAUUAAUACUCUGCAAUUUUGACGUUACCGACAGAAUAAGCACCGGCUAACUCUGUGCCAGCCGCCGCGGUAAGAC